GUUUGGUAAGCAGAUAUCACCUGAAGAUAGAAAAGUGGGUUUCAAAUUGGAUGGAGCUAAAGCUCCUGGUAAUUACAUGCCAGUUAGGCCAAAUGCUGAUCCAGCUCGAGUCCAACAGGGCUUUUGAUCUCCCAACAGUUGAGCGAUGCUUCCCAAAGCAGUUGAUUGCUUGCUUUCUUUCCUUCUUUUAAAGGUUCUGCAGGACCUGUUCAUCCGCUGGUGGAUCCUUUAGCAGCUGGACCCCAUUUGGCACGUUUUCCCUACCCGCCUGGGACCAUCCCCAACCCAUUGCUAGGGCAGCCACCUCAUGAGCAUGAAAUGCUCCGACAUCCAGUCUUUGGUACUCCUUAUCCACGAGAUCUGCCUGGUGCCAUUCCACCUCCUAUGUCAGCAGCCCACCAACUGCAGGCCAUGCACGCCCAGUCAGCAGAGCUGCAGAGACUGGCCAUGGAGCAGCAGUGGUUGCACGGGCAUCCUCACAUGCACGGUGGUCAUCUACCAAGUCAGGAAGAUUAUUACAGUCGACUGAAGAAAGAAGGCGACAAACAGUUGUAAUAAAUUAUUUAUUUGUAAUGCUGGCUAUGGAAACCCCAGUCCUUGGGAAGGAGUGGAACAUUUUUACAUACAAUAAGAGCUACAAAAGGAAAAGAAUAUCUUAUAAAGAUUUCUUUAUAUAUUUAAAACAGAAACAACCACCCAACAAGUAGAGACUUAUCAGCAUAGUGUUCAUUUGUAGAGAAGAUUUCUCAAGACUGGUGUGGGUCUCCCUGCAUGACAACGUAUUCAGAAGCCUAUUGAAAAUACAGGACUGUGUGGAAUAUUCAGAGAACUUCCUGCAAUCUUGGGUUUUUUUUCUUACUAGUUUGUUUUGAGUAGGUGCUAGAAUCAGGUUCACAACACAAGUCACUGUGCGUGAAGAGACACUCAAUGCAUCUAUAGCUAUUUUAAAAAAAAAAACAAGGAUUGCAAGUAGGUGACGUAACAAGCUCUGAAUCCAAGUGCUAUAAUAAUAAAAAUCUACUUUUAUUUUAAUACAUUGUAGGAAAUCUUCAUAAUUUUAAAGAGAGCUCAGUUCUGCAGCAUGGCUUUUUAAGUCUGUAAAUAACUUUUUUGGGUAGAGGGGAGAAACAAAACAAAACAAAACUCCAGAAACGUUUAUCUUGAUUUUCAGUAACAUCACAAAUUGUGAAUUCCUACCUGGUAUUGACAGAAUACAGAGUUGAUUUUUUAAUAAAAAAUAUAUAUAUAAUUAUCCCUUUAAUUAAAGGGAAUGAUGGGUAUCAAUAAUUUCAAAUGGGUAAAAGCUUGAAAUUUGGUUUGCUUUCAACAAUAAGCAUUAAAGGGAGUUGCAGGGAUAAUGUUGCAAAUGACUGUUUCUGUUCUUGGUUUUUUGGUUUGUUUGGGUUUGUUGGGUUUUUUUGUUAGUGUUACAUCUCUCUGUUCUGCAGAUGAUUUCUGUUGAGUUGGGUUUCUCAGCAGUACAGGUGUCCCUUGGAACUAGCUUACCCUUUUGAUGCCUACUUCAAGGGUUAAUUUUCAGUGUGGCCAUAAUACGCUUCUUUCCUAUUACCUUUUGAAACUUAAUCGAACUACAUUGGUUUUAGAAUUUAGGCAAAAAGUUCAAAGAAAUAAUCUGUUCUAAAAUAUCUUUUUAAAAAUUUUCCGUGGCUCAAACGAGUACAGCCAGAAUUUUGUAUGCAUGUGCAUAUUUUUGGAGGACGUGCUCUUUUCUGGCCUCUUAUGUUUGAUAUGUUCUUAAGAAAAGUGGAUAGGCAACUCGGUGUUCUUAAAGUUGUUUUGCAAAGACUAGUCUGUAUUUCUCUUUGACUGUUUUAGUUCUGUUUUUAUAAGCAAAAACUUCUUAAUCGCCACCAGUGUUCUGUAUCUCAGGAACUUACUGCUUUGGGAUUAACCGGAUACAUGGACAGUAACAUUUACUGACUCCCAACACAACAGGUCCGUGCAGAAUAACUCCUGUUGGCUAGUUCCCAUGUGGAUGGUAAAAGGAGAGGAAUACACAGAAGGCCAGUGAGCAUUCUUUUGGAGACAGCUCUGCUUACUGUCUAGGCAGAAUUAUUAUUUUUUUUUCCGACUGUUUUGCCAUGGGUUUUCUUUGCCAGAGCAGAGGGUGAUGCAACCAAUGGACAUCUGAAUCUGCUGGCUGUUUUUUUCUGCUGGUGCAUAACUUCCCCCCCAUUCUCUCUCUUAACUCACGAGUGCUCUCUCUCUGCUGUUGUAGACUGUUCAGUGUGAUGGUUGUGUCAUAGGACUGUACCGAGCCAUGUUUGAUAAACUUGUAGUUAAUCAUACAUUCUGAUGGAAGGCAUGGCAUGCACAGUGCUUUAUCCACCUCUUGGGUCUCAAAGCAGUGUCAGCAUUAGUGCCCAAAGAUUACUGUUGGACAGUUAGUAACAUCCAUUUACCAAUUAAAAAUACACAUUGGGGUAUUCUAAGUCUGCUUAAGGCAAAAGCGUCUAGGAGAGAGAGGGGGACUAAUUCCGCUAAUGUUGAUCUUCCUUUUUUUUGUGUCCUCCAUUCCAGAUUUCUCAGUGCUAAAGAGCUGCAAUAGCGUUUAAUCAGUUCCAUCUGCUGUAUUUGAACUCUCUGUGAAGGUAUUAGGAGGAACAGCUAGUGUUUCUGAGAGUUGGAAACCAUGAGGUCAAGCUAGAAUCGAGGAUGGUAAAGUCUUCUUCAGUCAAUGCCUUCAGUCGCUGUCUGCAGUGAUCAGGUGACAUGGUUUUCUUCUGAGUAACAUUUUUUUACUUCAGCUAACAGUGAGUAGCUGGUGAGACCGGUCUGCUCAGCAGAGAGAGUGCCUCAGUUUACUUUAAAGGUCUAAUUAGGCAUGUUUCAGUUAAAACUCUCCUCCUUGUUUUUACCAUGUGGAAUUUGGGAGUUUGGGGGAGUUCAGCCACUUCAGCUAUUUUUUCUGAUCCUUCUUUUUUGCUGUUACUUUUAGCUAUAGUUCUUCUUAAGAAAGAAAACCACCUUAUUGCCUCCAAUGGUCCCCUCUCUGUAUCUUUUUUUUUUCAGUUGAGGUUUGUAGUCUGUUCAAAAGCUAUUCAUUGAUCUCUCUUUUUUUUUUUUUACAUCAUUCAGCAAAUAAGCACUGAAAUUCUUCCAUUUUAGACCAAUGAUUAACUACAACUUUACAUGCAGUGGUUUUUGAAGCCAUCUUGGUGUUCGAUGCCCUGUUAAAACAACCCAGACCGUUUGAUUUUCUUUAAGAAAUCUCUCUUACUUUUCCUCUGUUUCGAAAGAUUAUUUUUUAAUUUUGCUUUAGUGUUUUUGAAACGUCUCUCUUGUUCUAUGUCGUCAUGGUUGAGCUUGUUUCACUGCACCGUUAAAGCAGAGUGUACAUUCUGACUGCUACAUUUAUAUAUAUCUUGAAGCUUAAUGUAUAUAUGAGUAGUUUGCCAUGGGAUAACACAGUGUAAACAGAGUAGAAACCCAGAAAUCGUGACUUCUGUGUUCUCUCCAUUUGAGUAUUUUGUAAUUUUUUUGAAAUAUUUGUGGACAUAAAUAAAACCAAGCUACACUACAGCAGCCAGGUUUUGCCUGCAAGCGAAA